AAAACAGUUAUGGUUUAUUUGAUGGUUCUUUGGUUACUAGGAUAACUAUAGUAAUUGUAGAGAUAAUACAUGCACGAAGGGGCGACUUAAGAAGCCCUGUAUUUAUUAGAUGAAACCCAACCCCCUCGGGGAAAUCGGGGGGAAUCAUAGUAACUAAUCGGAUCGCCGGCUUUACGCCAGCGACGUGUCAUUCAAAUUUCUGCCCUAUUCAGCUUUAGAGGGUAGGAUAUGGGCCUACCAGGGCGGUGACGGGUAACGGAGAAUUGGGUUUGAUUCCGGGAGAGGGAGCCUGAGAAACGGCUACCACUUUUAAGGAAGGCAGCAGGCGCGCAAAAUUACCCAAUCCUAACCUCAGGGAGGUAGCCACAAGAAA
rnacentral:rRNA from 1 species